AGUGAACGCUGGCGGUAGGCCUAACACAUGCAAGUCGAACGGCAGCACAGUAAGAGCUUGCUCUUACGGGUGGCGAGUGGCGGACGGGUGAGGAAUACAUCGGAAUCUACUUUUUCGUGGGGGAUAACGUAGGGAAACUUACGCUAAUACCGCAUACGACCUACGGGUGGAAGCAGGGGAUCUUCGGACCUUGCGCGAUUGAAUGAGCCGAUGUCGGAUUAGCUAGUUGGCGGGGUAAAGGCCCACCAAGGCGACGAUCCGUAGCUGGUCUGAGAGGAUGAGCAGCCACACUGGAACUGAGACACGGUCCAGACUCCUACGGGAGGCAGCAGUGGGGAAUAUUGGACAAUGGGCGCAAGCCUGAUCCAGCCAUACCGCGUGGGUGAAGAAGGCCUUCGGGUUGUAAAGCCCUUUUGUUGGGAAAGAAAAGCAGCAGGUUAAUACCCCGCUGUUCUGACGGUACCCAAAGAAUAAGCACCGGCUAACUUCGUG
rnacentral:rRNA from 1 species